rnacentral:lncRNA from 1 species
ACUAUUAUGAGAACUGAACAUGGGUUCUCACACACUUUUUCUUCCAUAAAUUAGGGUUUGGGCUUCAGUAUCGUUGGUGGUAAAGACAGCAUUUAUGGACCAAUAGGCAUCUAUGUCAAAACCAUCUUUCCUGGUGGAGCUGCUGCUGCUGAUGGAAGGCUACAAGAAGGUGAUGAAAUCCUGGAACUGAAUGGAGAAUCCAUGCAUGGAUUAACACAUUAUGAUGCUUUACAGAAAUUUAAGGCUAAAAAGGGUCUUCUGACACUUACAGUCAGGACAAGCUUCAGCACACCUCAUUUUGCUUCCAGCUGUCAGUCACCCCUCUUGUGUCAGUCACUGAGCUCCAGUACAUGCAUAACCAAGGAAAACAGCUCGUUCAGUUCAGAAAAUGCAGCAUUCUCCUUAAAUC